CCACAUCCAAGAUGGCGAAUCAAAUGUUCAGAUUCGCAGGAAAGUUCAAUUUGGUUGGCAAAUAUCUAAUCAUUGGUGCAAAGAUUAUAAAAAAAGUUCAAAUAUUCAAGCAGUGUACACGCAGAGGGCUGUUUAGCUUGAAUCGUCCAAUGUUUAGGGAUAAUUUAACGAACACAGCGUGCGUAGCUCAGACUCAUUUAUAUUCCAAAUGGCUUCAAAACCUUUCUUUGUAAUACAAGACAAAAAUACAGCAGUGUGUUGGAAGAUUUGAUGGAGACACAAGAACAGCCACAGCUAACAGUAGGUGCCACAGAACAGAAGAACGAUUGGUGCUAAUAGACUGAAUUGCAAGGGAAUCUGGUAGUAUUAUGUGCCGUCGUAAAGAGUUGCGAAAUUUUGAGCUGGCCGCGUGUCCUAUGAUGUUGACUUGCAAGGUUUUGUCAAUGACGUUCGAGGCUUCAAGUGUUUAUUCAAAUAUAGGUGAGGUUAUUUUGUAAUAUCUUCUUCCGAGUAACCAAACAAGACCAAGGGAGUAGAAUAGCCGAAGAGAACAAUCCCCUUACAGCUGUGUGUAUCGUGAAAUAUCCCUCUAUACACUACCAUUAUCAAGCUCUUCUGUCUUUUACACUGUGUGUUUUUACGCGAGUGUACGGUUUGUUUACUAAGCUGUAGCCUUUUCAACAUUCACAAGACAGCUCUACUUUGCAACAACCAAACACCUGACAAGCAAUAUUUACGUACAGAAUGAUAUUUGAAAGAACAUGUCAUUCAGCUUUAAAGAGAACACUUUCCACGCCCAUUUCACUACGAUUCUUAUAAACAGCUUUAGCACGAAUGUAACUGCUUCAUAUCUUGCGGUUUAUACUAGUCGAAGGUUAUAUUCAUCUCGGAAAAAUUCCCGGUGAACAAAAACACGAACAAGGAUGUCUCUACUGUAUCUCGCCGUCGUCUUUUCUUUGGUCGGAGUAUCUUUCGGCUUCCGUGGAUCUUGCUAUGCCCCUCCACUCGUCUACGGUGGUACAUGUUGGUCCAGUACGGCAAUAUUUGGAAGCUCCAGCACGCGUGUGAAGUACUCAGUAUCUGUAAAGGGUGACACCAUGGUUUGCUGUAAAGCCCUGGCUUGUGGUACGGGAAGCAGCUGCUCUUCAUGGGGCUGGUAUUCCAUGGGAUGCUUCGGUGGAUCUGGAUCGUGGUCGUUCCCUUGGGGAAGCAAUGUGGGGAGCCCAGCUAUUAAGUGUAAAGGGAGUCCUCUAGGAAGCGCCCUUGAAUGGUCUCAUUAAAGCCGAUCGAUCGCACCUUGGUAUCUAUAGUCAAACAUAGCUAACAUACGUAGUCGGGAUAGGAAGCUACCGCUAACCAGGCUAACCAUCGUCAUUUACAGGAUAACUGUUGUCCUGCCAUAUAUUCACUACUCUUAUCAAUGAACGUGGGUUUUGCAUUUAUCAUAGAAAAUGCCGAAGUGGAAAUAAAAAGCUCAUUAUUGGGAUCAGUAUGCUUC